rnacentral:rRNA from 1 species
UACAGAGGUCUCAAGCGUUGUUCGGAUUCAUUGGGCGUAAAGGGUGCGUAGGCGGGCUGUCAAGUCUGGGGUGAAAUCCGGCAGCUUAACUGUCGAACUGCCUUAGAUACUGAUGGCCUCGAGGAAGGUAGGGGCAUGCGGAACUGUAGGUGGAGCGGUGAAAUGCGUUGAUAUCUACAGGAACUCCGGUGGCGAAAGCGGCGUGCUGGACCUUUUCUGACGCUGAGGCACGAAAGCUAGGGGAGCAAACGGG